AUUGAACGCUGGCGGCAGGCCUAACACAUGCAAGUCGAACGGUAACAGGAAGAAGCUUGCUUCUUUGCUGACGAGUGGCGGACGGGUGAGUAAUGUCUGGGAAACUGCCUGAUGGAGGGGGAUAACUACUGGAAACGGUAGCUAAUACCGCAUAACGUCGCAAGACCAAAGAGGGGGACCUUCGGGCCUCUUGCCAUCGGAUGUGCCCAGAUGGGAUUAGCUAGUAGGUGGGGUAACGGCUCACCUAGGCGACGAUCCCCAGCUGGUCUGAGAGGAUGACCAGCCACACUGGAACUGAGACACGGUCCAGACUCCUACGGGAGGCAGCAGUGGGGAAUAUUGCACAAUGGGCGCAAGCCUGAUGCAGCCAUGCCGCGUGUAUGAAGAAGGCCUUCGGGUUGUAAAGUACUUUCAGCGGGGAGGAAGGGAGUAAAGUUAAUACCUUUGCUCAUUGACGUUACCAGCAGAAGAAGCACCGGCUAACUACGUG
rnacentral:rRNA from 1 species